AGACAUACCCUUGAUAAUUUUGUUUGCUUGUUUAGGGGUGAAACUGACGAUUAGAUCGGAAAUCUAGAUUAUGUAUUCUUAUUCUGUCUUGCCCAUUUUUCAUUCAGCUGGGCUGUUCUUUUUAGGCUUCACUCUAGAAUUUAUAGUGAAAACGUUUAUAAAUUAUUUCAUAGAUUAGACAAUGUUGUAACAUUGGUACUUUGUUUUAUUUCAACUAAUUUUAUGAAUGUAACCAUUGUUUUCUUGUCUCAUCAAGUAUUCCUGCAAAACCAAAUAGCUGAAAAUGUUAAAAAUAGCACUUUGGAUCACUAGAUUGCCUUGAGCAGACCAAAACCCUAACCGAUAAUACGAUGAAGCCACCAGAUAUUAAUGGCAAAAGGGCAUUUACAAAAUAAAUGUUUUGUGGAUUCAAAACUAAUGCUACAAAGGUCACAUGUAGAAGGCAAAGAACAACCUCGCAGAGCAAGUUUUCAUCGGCUGGUUUUAUGUGCUUUAUUCUCCAAAUAGUAAGCCAAAUUAGAGGGAGGAACAUUUCUGUGCCAAAUUUGCUUGGCUCCCCAAUGUGGUUGCCCAGGAUGCUUCAGAGAGG
rnacentral:lncRNA from 1 species